rnacentral:rRNA from 1 species
UGGGGAAUUUUCCGCAAUGGGCGCAAGCCUGACGGAGCAAUACCGCGUGAGGGAAGAAUGCCUGUGGGUUGUAAACCUCUUUUCUCAAGGAAGAAUUAUGACGGUACUUGAAGAAUAAGCAUCGGCUAACUCCGUGCCAGCAGCCGCGGUAAUACGGAGGAUGCAAGCGUUGUCCGGAAUCACUGGGCGUAAAGCGUCUGUAGGUGGCUUAGAAAGUCUGCUGUUAAAUCUUAGGGCUCAACCCUAAACAAGCAGUGGAAACUCCUAGGCUAGAGUAUGGUAGGGGUAGAGGGAAUUCCCAGUGUAGCGGUGAAAUGCGUAGAUAUUGGGAAGAACACCGGUGGCGAAAGCGCUCUACUGGGCCAUUACUGACACUCAGAGACGAAAGCUAGGGUAGCGAAUGGGAUUAGAUACCCCCGUAGUCC